rfam:Danio rerio unplaced genomic contig CTG2934, GRCz11 reference primary assembly.
GCCUCGUUGGCGCAGUAGGCAGCAUGUCAGUCUCAUAAUCUGAAGGUUGUGAGUUCGAGCCUCACACGGGGCA